rnacentral:rRNA from 1 species
AGCGAACGCUGGCGGCAGGCCUAACACAUGCAAGUCGAACGAACUCUUCGGAGUUAGUGGCGGACGGGUGAGUAACACGUGGGAACGUGCCUUUAGGUUCGGAAUAGCUCCUGGAAACGGGUGGUAAUGCCGAAUGUGCCCUUCGGGGGAAAGAUUUAUCGCCUUUAGAGCGGCCCGCGUCUGAUUAGCUAGUUGGUGAGGUAAAGGCUCACCAAGGCGACGAUCAGUAGCUGGUCUGAGAGGAUGACCAGCCACAUUGGGACUGAGACACGGCCCAAACUCCUACGGGAGGCAGCAGUGGGGAAUCUUGCGCAAUGGGCGAAAGCCUGACGCAGCCAUGCCGCGUGAAUGAUGAAGGUCUUAGGAUUGUAAAAUUCUUUCACCGGGGACGAUAAUGACGGUACCCGGAGAAGAAGCCCCGGCUAACUUCGUGCCAGCCGCCGCAGUAAGAC